rnacentral:rRNA from 1 species
GACGAACGCUGGCGGCGUGCCUAAUACAUGCAAGUAGAACGCUGAAGGAGGAGCUUGCUCUUCUGGAUGAGUUGCGAACGGGUGAGUAACGCGUAGGUAACCUGCCUGGUAGCGGGGGAUAACUAUUGGAAACGAUAGCUAAUACCGCAUAACAGUAGAUGUUGCAUGACAUUUACUUAAAAGGUGCAAUUGCAUCACUACCAGAUGGACCUGCGUUGUAUUAGCUAGUUGGUGGGGUAACGGCUCACCAAGGCGACGAUACAUAGCCGACCUGAGAGGGGGAUCGGCCACACUGGGACUGAGACACGGCCCAGACUCCUACGGGAGGCAGCAGUAGGGAAUCUUCGGCAAUGGACGGAAGUCUGACCGAGCAACGCCGCGUGAGUGAAGAAGGUUUUCGGAUCGUAAAGCUCUGUUGUAAGAGAAGAACGAGUGUGAGAGUGGAAAGUCCACACUGUGACGGUAUCUUACCAGAAAGGGACGGCUAACUACGUG